UACGUAGGGUGCAAGCGUUGUCCGGAAUUAUUGGGCGUAAAGAGCUCGUAGGCGGUUUGUCGCGUCUGCUGUGAAAACUCAGGGCUUAACCCUGAGCCUGCAGUGGGUACGGGCAGACUAGAGUGUGGUAGGGGAGAUCGGAAUUCCUGGUGUAGCGGUGGAAUGCGCAGAUAUCAGGAGGAACACCGGUGGCGAAGGCGGAUCUCUGGGCCUGCACUGACGCUCAUGCACGAAAGCGUGGGGAGCAAACAGG
rnacentral:rRNA from 1 species